AAAAAUAGACUAAAUUAAACCAUGGGGAGGUGGACAAAAGAGUUAGUGCAAAGUUGUGUUUGACACCACCAACAUUCAGCAAUCGAUGCAGCCACAUCGUCAAGUAAAUACUAUGGAAAUUAUAAAGCACUUACUUGUAGUUUUCCCCUCUUCCAAUAUUGUGCGAUAUGUUCUUCCAUAAUACGCUUGGUAUAUGUUUCUCAGAGGUUACAAUCCUACCAAUACUUGAGUAUAUAAAUGAAUAAUAACUGAGUACUGUAUAUCAAAUAUUUGCGUUGUCAUGUUAACUAUGGCACAUGUUCAAACUACUGACCCAUGAAAGAUUUACGAAUGAAGCUUUUAUAAAGAAAGCACCUGAAAAACAGUCAUAACAUAUCAUGGUAGAGUCACUCACACGUAAGACUGUAAAAACUCCUCCCACACAUUGGGCAAGGCUUGGGGAAAUGUCAGUCACUGAUAAAAAAUGGCUCUGAGCCCGCCCACAUGACAUGGAUGUACCCUUAUAACUACGAGUGAAUUUGACCGUUUGGAUCAGGCUCGACAAGACUCCCCUCAAAACAUCUACUCGACAGAGCUCCUUCAUCUGGUAAGAUAGCUUCACCAACAUCAAGUCAUGAAUAUUGCAAUGAGCACGCUGUGCCUGAUGCUGUUCAUCGUUCACGCACAAGCACAGGAUUCAGACAAGCCUCCGCAAAAAGAAAGAAUUGAACCGACUACUUUUAUAUCAAUCAUCAAUGCAUGUGUGGGAGUUAUUCCGAUUAUAAAGGGCUUCACGAAAACAAAAGAGUUUACCUGCCAAGCGGGAAUGAAUGAUACGUUGAGUACAGUACGUUGUCUCCCUGAACAAAAAUUCUGUGUCACUGCAAACGUAACUGUUGGGAAUUACACAUUCAUUUACAAGAGCUGUGCUUCGGACCUGGAUUGUGUCUUUAAAGAACGCAUUCGAAAAAUGGUACUCAACGAUGUAGUAGAUGCGUAUGAAGAUUCUCGUGGGUGCAUCCUAAAUAGCUAUGACUGCAACAGCGGCCCACAUGGUGGUCCACCUCGUUCCCUGGCUCUGCUUAUCCCCCCCAUUCUAUCCCUCCUUGUAUUUUCCAGCUAACUUUCUCGCAGGGCUAGGUACGCACAAUAACCCUACCGUUGCUGUUAAGUGUGGGACUAAUCUAUUCAGACAGUUGCUCUUAACUUUUUCACAAAGGGUACUCAUUGUUUGUAAUUAACAACCAUGAAUUAAUGUGUACGUUAAUGUUACGUUAAUGCAAUCACAACGAGUACUUUACUCAGUGUUUAUAAUAAUCAAAUUUGCUUUUAAUUGUAACCCCCCCCCCCAUAAACUUAUGACCAUGAUAAGCACUGAACAAUAGUGCCACACGUUCCUUUCUACCUCUACCAAAGCGUCUCUCUACUGAGGAAUGCUUUUGUUUUUACUUAACAGGAAGCUAAUAAGAAUGGAUUGGUGUAGAAUGGUGAUGCAAAAGUUGGUACACUCCAUGAUGAAUCCAGAGACCUGGGUCUGAUUCCCGGCCAUGGCUAACACCAGUGGUCAAGUGAACCGGUUCUGGGCCCGCCUUCACCAUUCCACACUGCCCACUCGUGGUGACGCAUGAAACCGUCCAUGACUGCAAGGCAUGGGGAGGUCUUUAGUGAGCAGUGGUGUUUAUAAAGGAACGUUCAACAAUUGAAUCAUGAAAAAACAUGUAAACGAUAUAUACUUUCAUCAAUUUGUAAUGCGCUUGAACAAAUGUAGUUUAUGCUGGAGUAUGUUAAAACUAAAUUAGCUUCCACUUCCCGAGUGGAAGGAUAAAAAAAGCCCUCUCCAGUUCGCCCGCUCUGCUCUGCCACGCUCGUGGUUGUUGCCACUCCCAUUGUGCAGCUUCCUUGAACCAGCGAUAAGCCCAUUCAUGAACUAUGAGACAGCGUUAUGUGUUUUUUAUAUAUUAAAGUGUGUAACAAGGUGUGUGUUUUUUCUUAUAUUAUCGCAGAUUGGGAAAACUACAUUAUAAAAAAAUUAAGCAAUUUAAUCAUUCGAGAAAAUAAUGGUGAUUAUGGACGCCUUUUCUUUAAUGACAUGUGAUAUUGCUGGAAAAUAUAUAAUAAAUGUUGCCUAUCAAUAUUGUGCGUAAACAGUGUUCAUGUAGCUUGUAGGAAGCCUUCAACCUUUUUUUCAAAGCACCAACAUUCUCUCCCGCAAAUAUCAAAACACGAAAUAUUGGAACCAGGCGGGGUUCGUUCACUAGAGGUGUUGGGGCGCCGCCCCACCAAGGAGCUGGAGAUGAGAAAUUAUAUUUCUAAUUUUAAAAAAAGUUUCUAUAAAUAGUUUUAUUGUGUUAAAAAAAAAUGAUUAUUUCAAUGUGAAUUGCCGAAUGAAGAGCAAAUGUUAAGUUCACAUGAGAAACCGCUGGAACACCACAGUCUGAUUUGUGCCCUCGGGGAGGUCUCGGGUCGGCUGUGAAGGCGUCCGAGUGAGAGAUUUCCCUUUUUCGUUGCGACGAGCUUCGCAUUUUAGCUACGACGUUUGAGACCAAUUCAGAGCGGUGAAAAAGGGUGCCCGUGGCUGCACUGAGACGAUGUCACGACGCGAGGUUGCACCGUGCAAAUGUAGCAGCUCACACGGCCUGCGCGCUCAAGGGGGAAACAGCAGCCAUGGGGAUGGCUGCAGUUGCAGUAAACUAAGAAUUAGCAACGGACAUUGGAGUCACUCCUAAAUAUUCCAUUUGGUCAUGGGAACAGCAUUCGAGUGCUUUGCUGUUCUUUUUCCUAUCGUUUAUGAAUGCCUACCUUUGGUAAAUAAGACAGUUAUAUCACUUUCACGGGAAGGCCAAUAAAAUGACGAUGUCUUGGCCUCCUGUGCGCUGCGUUGCAUCACUAUCCGUGUAGUUAACCUCGCAUUCAAUAAACUUUCAGAGUCAGGGUGAACAUCUGACUCCAACGGAUUUAAUGAAUAGUACGAGGUAAAACUGAUGGAAAAACACAGCACAAAAUACAGCAUCUGUUAAUAC